GAGAGGUCCCUGCCCUCAGCUGUUUAGCUAUUUAAACGUCAUCCCAUGCAUCAAACGGUUAAACUAUUCUGAACAUUCUGGUGCUAAACGGAAUGAGGGUAGUCAUCCCUCUCAU
rnacentral:pre_miRNA from 1 species